rnacentral:rRNA from 1 species
GGGCCCGCACAAGCAGUGGAGUAUGUGGUUUAAUUCGAAGCAACGCGAAGAACCUUACCAGGUCUUGACAUCGUGUGCAUAGCAUAGAGAUAUGUGAAGUCCUUCGGGACACACAGACAGGUGGUGCAUGGUUGUCGUCAGCUCGUGUCGUGAGAUGUUGGGUUAAGUCCCGCAACGAGCGCAACCCUUACGAUUAGUUGCUACGCAAGAGCACUCUAAUAGGACUGCCGUUGACAAAACGGAGGAAGGUGGGGAUGACGUCAAAUCAUCAUGCCCCUUAUGACCUGGGCUACACACGUACUACAAUGAUGACCAACAGAGGGAAGCAAAACCGCGAGGCAGAGCAAACCCCUAAAAGUCACCUCAGUUCGGAUCGCAGGCUGCAACCCGCCUGCGUGAAGCUGGAAUUGCUAGUAAUCGCGGAUCAGCAUGCCGCGGUGAAUACGUUCCCGGGCCUU